GAGCAAGAGCGUCUAUAAUAAAAAUGGCGCAAAUUGCAUUGAAGGUUGGCAAUAUAAAUAUGCAGUGAAUUAAGUAACUUUUUAAGUUUAUUCACUUUUUU